rnacentral:rRNA from 1 species
CCUACGGGAGGCAGCAGUGGGGAAUAUUGCGCAAUGGGCGAAAGCCUGACGCAGCGACGCCGCGUGAGGGAUGAAGGUCUUCGGAUCGUAAACCUCUGUCAGCAGGGAAGAACGGUCACUGUGCUAAUCAGCAGUGAAUUGACGGUACCUGCAAAGGAAGCACCGGCUAACUCCGUGCCAGCAGCCGCGGUAAUACGGAGGGUGCGAGCGUUAAUCGGAAUUACUGGGCGUAAAGCGCUCGUAGGCGGUAUGGCAAGUCAAGGGUGAAAUCCCCGCGCUCAACGUGGGAACUGCCUUUGAAACUGGCAAACUGGAGUGUGGGAGAGGAUAGUGGAAUUCCAGGUGUAGGAGUGAAAGCCGUAGAUAUCUGGAGGAACAUCAGUGGCGAAGGCGACUAUCUGGCACAUAACUGACGCUGAGGAGCGAAAGCGUGGGUAGCAAACAGGAUUAGAUACCCCUGUAGUC